rnacentral:rRNA from 1 species
UGGGGAAUUUUGCGCAAUGGACGAAAGUCUGACGCAGCGAUUCUGCGUGGAGGAUGACGCAUUACGGUGUGUAAACUCCUUUUCUGGUGGAAGACGAAUGACGGUACACCAGGAAUAAGGGACGGCUAACUACGUGCCAGCAGCCGCGGUAAUACGUAGGUCCCGAGUGUUAUCCGGAAUUACUGGGCAUAAAGAGUCUGUAGCCGGAACAAAAAGUCUGUUUUCAAAUACCCUGGCUUAACCAGGGAAAGGGAAUAGAUACUUUUGAUCUAGAGAUAUUUGGAGGUUAGUGGAAUUUCCGGUGGAGCGGUGAAAUGCGUUGAUAUCGGAAAGAACGCCGAAAGCGAAAGCAGCUAACUACAAUACGUCUGACGGUGAGAGACGAAAGCUUGGGGAGCAAACAGG